rnacentral:rRNA from 1 species
CCCUUAGAUGUUCUGGGCCGCACGCGCGCUACACUGAUUCAUUCAACGAGUCUAAAACCUGCUCUGAUAGGGGUGGGUAAUCUUUUGAAUGUGCAUCGUGAUUGGGAUAGAUGAUUGCAAUUUUUCAUCUUCAACGAGGAAUGCCUAGUAAACGCAAGUCAUCAGCUUGCAUUGAUUACGUCCCUGCCCUUUGUACACACCGCCCGUCGCUCCUACCGAUUGAAUGAUCCGAUGAAUAUCAUGGAUUGAGGAUGCAAGUAGGUUAGCCUAUCUUCAUCUUCGAGAAGUGAAGUAAAUCUUAUCAUUUAGAGGAAGGAGAAGUCGUAACA